GAUGAACGCUGGCGGCGUGCCUAAUACAUGCAAGUCGAGCGAACGGACGAGAAGCUUGCUUCUCUGAUGUUAGCGGCGGACGGGUGAGUAACACGUGGAUAACCUACCUAUAAGACUGGGAUAACUUCGGGAAACCGGAGCUAAUACCGGAUAAUAUUUUGAACCGCAUGGUUCAAAAGUGAAAGACGGUCUUGCUGUCACUUAUAGAUGGAUCCGCGCUGCAUUAGCUAGUUGGUAAGGUAACGGCUUACCAAGGCAACGAUGCAUAGUCGACCUGAGAGGGUGAUCGGCCACACUGGAACUGAGACACGGUCCAGACUCCUACGGGAGGCAGCAGUAGGGAAUCUUCCGCAAUGGGCGAAAGCCUGACGGAGCAACGCCGCGUGAGUGAUGAAGGUCUUCGGAUCGUAAAACUCUGUUAUUAGGGAAGAACAUAUGUGUAAGUAACUGUGCACAUCUUGACGGUACCUAAUCAGAAAGCCACGGCUAACUACGUGCCAGCAGCCGCGGUAAUACGUAGGUGGCAAGCGUUAUCCGGAAUUAUUGGGCGUAAAGCGCGCGUAGGCGGUUUUUUAAGUCUGAUGUGAAAGCCCACGGCUCAACCGUGGAGGGUCAUUGGAAACUGGAAAACUUGAGUGCAGAAGAGGAAAGUGGAAUUCCAUGUGUAGCGGUGAAAUGCGCAGAGAUAUGGAGGAACACCAGUGGCGAAGGCGACUUUCUGGUCUGUAACUGACGCUGAUGUGCGAAAGCGUGGGGAUCAAACAGGAUUAGAUACCCUGGUAGUCCACGCCGUAAACGAUGAGUGCUAAGUGUUAGGGGGUUUCCGCCCCUUAGUGCUGCAGCUAACGCAUUAAGCACUCCGCCUGGGGAGUACGACCGCAAGGUUGAAACUCAAAGGAAUUGACGGGGACCCGCACAAGCGGUGGAGCAUGUGGUUUAAUUCGAAGCAACGCGAAGAACCUUACCAAAUCUUGACAUCCUUUGACAACUCUAGAGAUAGAGCCUUCCCCUUCGGGGGACAAAGUGACAGGUGGUGCAUGGUUGUCGUCAGCUCGUGUCGUGAGAUGUUGGGUUAAGUCCCGCAACGAGCGCAACCCUUAAGCUUAGUUGCCAUCAUUAAGUUGGGCACUCUAAGUUGACUGCCGGUGACAAACCGGAGGAAGGUGGGGAUGACGUCAAAUCAUCAUGCCCCUUAUGAUUUGGGCUACACACGUGCUACAAUGGACAAUACAAAGGGCAGCGAAACCGCGAGGUCAAGCAAAUCCCAUAAAGUUGUUCUCAGUUCGGAUUGUAGUCUGCAACUCGACUACAUGAAGCUGGAAUCGCUAGUAAUCGUAGAUCAGCAUGCUACGGUGAAUACGUUCCCGGGUCU
rnacentral:rRNA from 1 species